UACGUAGGGGGCAAGCGUUGUCCGGAUUUAUUGGGCGUAAAGAGCGUGUAGGCGGCCAGACAGGUCAGCUGUGAAAACUCGAGGCUCAACCUCGAGACGUCGGUUGAAACCGUCUGGCUAGAGUCCGGAAGAGGAGAGUGGAAUUCCCGGUGUAGCGGUGAAAUGCGCAGAUAUCGGGAAGAACACCCGUGGCGAAGGCGGCUCUCUGGGACGGUACUGACGCUGAGACGCGAAAGCUAGGGGAGCAAACAGG
rnacentral:rRNA from 1 species